UGGGCUGAAAGAAACAAAUUUGGUUGGAGUGUGGCGUAAAGAAAAAUGAUGAUAGUAGAACAGAAUUGAUGAUCGAGAAUACAAGAAAAAUGAAUACAGACUUUCAAUUUGUUUUUUUAAAAUUUUUAAUUUCUUUUUUUUAAUCACAAAGUGCUAAAUACAAAUGGAAUACUUUGAUCCACAAUUUUUUUUUGAUUUUUGUACAUACCUAAUUCGGGAAGGAUCUGAACAUUCGUACUUCUCAUUUUAAGGUGGCUCUG
rnacentral:lncRNA from 1 species